rnacentral:rRNA from 1 species
AGAGUUUGAUCAUGGCUCAGAUUGAACGCUGGCGGCAGGCCUAACACAUGCAAGUCGAGCGGAAACGAGUUAUCUGAACCUUCGGGGGACGAUAACGGCGUCGAGCGGCGGACGGGUGAGUAAUGCCUAGGAAAUUGCCCUGAUGUGGGGGAUAACCAUUGGAAACGAUGGCUAAUACCGCAUGAUGCCUACGGGCCAAAGAGGGGGACCUUCGGGCCUCUCGCGUCAGGAUAUGCCUAGGUGGGAUUAGCUAGUUGGUGAGGUAAGGGCUCACCAAGGCGACGAUCCCUAGCUGGUCUGAGAGGAUGAUCAGCCACACUGGAACUGAGACACGGUCCAGACUCCUACGGGAGGCAGCAGUGGGGAAUAUUGCACAAUGGGCGCAAGCCUGAUGCAGCCAUGCCGCGUGUAUGAAGAAGGCCUUCGGGUUGUAAAGUACUUUCAGUCGUGAGGAAGGCGGCGUCGUUAAUAGCGGCGUUGUUUGACGUUAGCGACAGAAGAAGCACCGGCUAACUCCGUGCCAGCAGCCGCGGUAAUACGGAGGGUGCGAGCGUUAAUCGGAAUUACUGGGCGUAAAGCGCAUGCAGGUGGUUUGUUAAGUCAGAUGUGAAAGCCCGGGGCUCAACCUCGGAAUAGCAUUUGAAACUGGCAGACUAGAGUACUGUAGAGGGGGGUAGAA